CGAAACAAACCCCACAGAGAAUAUUUCUGUGUAAACGAAUUGUGAGAUUGUUUCUUGUCGGAGUCAUAAGAACAUUAUUGUCGCUGUGAUUUUUUUGUGCCCCUAAAAUUAAGAAUGGAACAACCACAGGCGCACGUCACGGCGCGCAUGCUUGGGCUACGUUUUCAAUUUUCGCGCGCAUGCGUACUUCCUUUGCAUGUUUACUGGUCACCGCGGCAAUUUUUAGGGGUAAUACGAAGUGUUUUCAAUCUUAAAAUAUCUCCUUUUAACCGAGGCAUCCUGUUCUAAAGACCAGCUAAUUUUGGUUUUCAACACUCCAAGAAAUAUUUUAUCGCUGAAUUUGUCUGCAACGGCGUAUGAAUGAUGUUUUUGCAUCCCUUGGAAACAUCCAGAAUCGAGCCCGUUUGGAACGUGCAUGACCACAAUAUAGCAGCCAUGGCGAAACCAUUUUGGAUUUUUAGUAAAGAUGGCCGUUCACCAAGCUUAGCAGUUUCUUCAAGUUGGGUAAGAGAAGACUACUGCGUACUGGUCCAGCAACCCACUGGACCUGUUGUCUGUUCACUUUUUUCCUCUGUCUGCCCCGUCUCCUAGCUCCUUCCCUGCACUGUUCCUUGGAGGAUGGUCUUUGACAAAGAAGCUUACAGUCUGGUAUAAAAGUUCUCCUUCAAAAAGAUUUCAGAAAUACACUUGACAUUCUUAUAUCUUGACAUCUUGACAUUAUGAUAUUACUGGAGUGCGUUUGUUUGUCUUCAAAUAUAACGUGUUGAAGUUCUCAGCUCUAAAGAAGAUUUCAAGAAUACUACACUUCAGCCUUGUUUCACUGGCCAAUGUCACAUUCUGAGCUCAUAUACAUGUAGGUCAUAUGUCCUCAAAUAUAAUGUUUCCCUAGUUCUCCUUCAAAGAAGAUUUCAAGAACACUUCACUACAGCCUUGUUUCGCCGGCAAGCUUAACAUUCUGAGAUCAUAGAGGUGACGUGUCUUCAAAUAUAAUGUAUUUUAGCUUCCCUUGUUUCAACAUCCUCCAAGGCAGAGACUCAAGGAUGCAGCUUCCUCCCACUGGACAGCUGGACUCACAUAGGUCGCAAGAGGGUGCUAGUCUUCAAAUAUCAUGCUUUCCUGGUGUUGGAGUGCUUCAUGGCAGAAACUCAAGAAAACCGAAGUACCGUCUUCCUUUCACUGCAUGGACACCUACCGAGGCUGCAUGCAACAGGUUGUUUUUACGUAUCAAAUCUGAUCGAGUUCCAUGAAUAUGAUGAAAUAUUGUAAACAUUUGCUGUACAUUAUACAUGUACAUAAAUGAUCUUAUUCAAUUAACUUAGUUAUGGUUUUAACAACAUUGUGACAGCUUAGUACACAAAGUAUUAAUCCCAAACAAAUGUUACAAUGGAUAAUAUUUUUAAGAUCUUUGCAUUGGUCUCCAUUACAUUGACUGGAUUGGUAACCCAAAUGCCGGCGCGGUGAUAGGCAACGAAUGCAAAUUUUAGGAAAACAUAAAAAUUAACAUAAAUAACUCUGUCUGCUUCACUAAGCGUUUCUGACAGCCAUUUCUGGAAAAAGGACUCCAGUUCAUUGCAAGUCUUUGAUGUCGCAUCAAUUGUCAAGGCAACAGAAAGAGUAAUACUAAUAGACCUACACAGCAUGUACGUUUUUGUGAAUAUAAAAUCAUUGAACUUCAGAUUAUUACAAAUUUAUAUGUGUAACUAUUUCGUUUGAUAUACAUGGAGAGAUUUGGUUUGGAUCUUGGAGGGAUGGCGGGAUAUUAUGUUAUAAACUGACUUUAUUUUCAUAUUUUGAUAAUUAUGUGUUCAUUUCCAAGUUCGAGAGAGCACAGACCUAAUCUUGUUUUUUUUAUGCGCAGGCUUAAAAGUAUCAAUUUAACAUUCCAUGUUAGAUUUGUCAAGGUUUUAGUGGAUGUUUCAUUCCCUUUCCAUCCUUAAUUUAUCUUCAAAUUGAACACAUUUCACAGGGAUUCAUCACUGAUUUAUUUAACUGAUGUUUCACCCCUUUCCCUUCCUUAUACAUGUAGUUACCUUCAUAUUGAACACAUUAAGGGAAACUUCAAUGAUAUUUUCUAUUUCAUACAACAUUUAUAGGCUUAAAUGUAGGACAUAUUUUCAUGUUGAGGUUUUAUUUGAAGUUCCACCCCUUUCCAUACUUAUUUAUCUUCAUAUUGAGCACAUUGGGGGAAACAUCCAUUAUUUUUCAUUUUUUUAUCAACUUACAUAGGCUUAAAUAUAGUACACAUUUGCAUGUUGCUUUUCCAUUUUUAUUUAUCUUCAUAUUGAACACAUUUAAUAGGGAAACAUCAAUGAUUUUUCCUUAAUCAGUUUAUAUAGGCUUAAAUAUAAUACAGAUUCGCAUGUUGAGGCUUAAUGUUUCACCCCUGUUCCAUUUUUAUAUAUCUUCGUAUUGAACACAUUGAUGGGAAAAUCCAUGAUUUUCUUUUAUCAGCUUAUAGUCUUAAAUAUAGUACAUAUUUGCAUGUUGAUGUAUUUAGUUGAUGUUUUACCCAUUUUCCUUCAUUAGUUAUCUUCAUAUUGAACCUACUCAAGAAAAAUCACUUCUGUUUUUCAUUGUUUUCAUCAAUUAGGCCUACUUACUUUAAUACUUGUAUGUGUAUUCUCCAAAAAAUCAAACCGUUUUCAAAAACUGAUUUACUGUCAAUUAGAUGAAAAUAUUUAAUAAUUUUUAUUUUUUUUUGCUUUUCUGCAAAUCAUAUUUUUGUGCUCAGAUUUUUGGAUGCUCUUGUUUUUCUUAUGAUUUAUUGACUUUUUGUCUGCUACUGUUUGUUUUUCUGUAGAUAUAUAUUCAAAUGAAAAAGUCGGAAAUGAACUGUCAAAAACAGGAAAAUGUUUUAGUCUUGCCUUCUCACUAUAAAAUUUAUCUUCUGUUCUGAACUGUUAUUGUGUAUUGAAAUAAAUAAUUGUGGAAUAUUAUAUUUUGCAGAUGUUCCCGGGCUAACUUAGCAGUUGAUGGUCCUUUCUAUGCAUGCCGAGAAUCCACUGAAGGGCACCAGUUUGUGAUACAUCAAAAUUAUGAUGAACUAUUAAUAAAAUGCAUUUGACUUUACCUAAGGCUGCUUUCAAUUUCCAAGAUUCUAAUUGAGGGAUUAGGAGAAAUAAAUGCCUACUUUCACUGUACUUUACCUUAAGAAAAGGUUUUCUUUUAUAAAUGUUUUAAAGAAAAUCGAGUUGAUUUGUAUGCCAUUUUGGUAUAACCGAGAUGAAGAAAAGAAAUGGAAAAGAAAGAACAUAUUGCUCGACCAACAGCCAAAUUACCAGACUGCAAAAUGUCAGGAUUACACAUGUACAAUUAUGAGAAAAUUGUCUUACACUUUAUACCAAAAUUUGAUUGUCAUCGUUCACGUUGUUACUUAAUUAAUUAUAUAUAUCUUGCCUGGUGUAGAAGUAAUACAUGCUUAUAGUGCUCAUCUGGGAAGGCCAUAUACCAGUUAUAUAUUAAUUUAUAUGUUUGUCAAAUGCUCGAGUUGUUUUUGUAAAAUAAAACUGGCACUUUUCAGAAUCUGUGCGAAGUAGUGGAUAAUAAAAUGAUGUGCUUAGUAACACUGUUGAUUGGUUUUCCAUUUGUUCUCAUUUUGGAGGUGUUUUGUGAUGUUUCUAUUUAUAUUAUCGUAACAAGUUCAAAUCGAAAAGUGCAAAAUAAACAAGUGCUUGUAUCUCAAAUGUACUCGGCAAAUUCACUGCAAUGCGCACAGCGUGUAGGACAGACAAACCAGUCUAUGUAAUGGGUCCAAAUGCUUACAUGUACUUUAAACACCAGGGUUGAAAAAAUUGAGGAUUUCUUUGAAAGUUUUAAUAAAUGAUGUAAUACUUAAGUCAAACGAAUAAAAUUGGCUUAUCACUUCUGUUGACCUACAACAUUGUUAACGCAUAAUUAUUGACUUCCUAUAUUAACUUCCUUUUAAUGGUUUCAAAUAUUUCUGUAAGUUCAAAUAAAUAUUGUCAUGUAGGUCAAAAUGAAUAAACUAAUUCAACAGUUUUGUUCAACAUUUUUUUAUACACAAAUUAAUUUACUUCCUAUAUAUUAAAGUCCAUUGAUACUUUCUAAUAAAAUUUGUUUAAAGACGGACUUGAUUUCACUCGGAAACCCAUAUAUUAUUUAAAUAUAUGAAUUAUUUUUAGGGGUCUGAAACAAGCCAUAAUAACAAGUAUAGAUACACUCAAAUAAUUAUGUUUUAUAUCUUGAAAAAAGUUCUCCAAUUAGUAUUAUGUCUGUCAAGUAACAUAAAGUUUGGUAAAAUCACUAAGAAAUACCUAAAAGUGUGUCGUGUUAAGAUUUUGGUGAAAUUUUACAGAUACUGAAGUAACUGUAUGUAGUAUAGUAUGGAAAUGUAUCUCGUGAAAAUCUAAAAUAUCAAAACAAUUGAAAUGAAAACAAUUUAAAAGUCAUAUUGAAUUGUUUUAAUUUAAACCACUUUCUGUGAGCAUACCAUGACAUUCAGAUAGACUAUAACCAAGUUUUAUAUUAAGAUUACUUAUCUUAAUUCACCCCCACACUAUAUUUGCAGACUAUUUCCCAGAAGUAUGGUUCGAUAUAUAUUGCCUAUCUUUCCAUAAGGAAUUGUUAGCUCCAAGUCCAUGCAGGAUUCCCCUUCAACUAUGUACAAUUAAGAUUUAGUGACAAAUAAGAAUGUUAAUUUGUCCUAUCCACAUAUUUUUAAAUGAUAUAACACGUGUAUUGGUGUCUUAUUAAAAGUAUUACCCAAAACAAAUGUACAUGUAUAUAAUUUUGCUGAAUUAUGCUGUACAAUUGUCAUUAUUUGCGUUUUAAUAUGCAUAUAACUGAAAGGAGACAAUUAAAUCAUACAUUUGGUGUGAAAACACACUGGGAACCUAGCAAUGUCCUUUUAUUCGUUGCCUGCUUUUGUUAUUUAAAUAUAUUUAAAUUGUAUGCAAAUUAUAUUCAAAUUAUCUAGGUGCAUUAUUGUUUUUAUACUUUUUUGAUUGCGCAAUCCAACCAGAAUUUUGGACCUGUGAGGUGGUUUCCUUCUGAAUAUUCAGUUUUCUGCUUUUUAUUAUUCAUUUAUUCAAAUGAGGCCAGGCGGCCAUUUUUUUUCUUUUUUU